GUGGUUGCUCUUCGAGAGAAUCCUAAGAAGAUUGGGCUUGGGAGGAAAACGAGUGGCGAUCUCUUUUUGAAGGGGAAGGUUUAUAUAAAUAUGGAUGGAUAUGAUACUUGAUAGC